CGGGUGUGCUCAGAGCAGGGGGCCCGAAGAAAUGGCUCUUCAGUUUACAACACACCCAACAGAAACUCGGGGUCAUCGUGUGGAGGGCACAGAACUCGUGCCCUUCCUGUGAGCAAACACCUCUACAUGU